rnacentral:tRNA from 4 species
GGGUCGUUAGCUCAGUCGGUAGAGCAGCAGCCUUUUAAGCUGAUGGUCGCAGGUUCGAUCCCUGCACGACCCA